CAGGUUCUGGAGCGCGUGGGGGGCUGGACCCUCAGGGCACACAAUUCCUGGGGUCAGGCUCUGCCCCGGACCAUAGUAGCAGCCAUGGCACCAUCUCUCAGACAUACGAGAAGCAAACGGAUACCCAGGUGUGUUGGGAGAACAUGCGUAAAGCCAAAAAUACAACCUGCACCAGCGUCCAUCAUCGUGACACCUCUCGGUGCAGUGGAAUGUGAGACCUUGGCCUGAAACACACAGUCACGUUGAAUAAGGUUCUCUACUUCAGUAGGAUUGACGUCAACACGGAUACUGCAUUUUGUCAAAGCCUUCCUCGGGAGCGUGAUCAUCUGUUUUCCUCGCCCGUGUGGUGGGCGUCAUAUGUUGUUUCCUCGGAUUCCUCACCUCCAAAAUGGAGUCACGUGACACACCCCGCUUCACAUGGUGGUUGUCAGGCUCGAGGAAGACGCUGGGUGUGAGAUGCUUGGCACGGGGCCUGGCACACCGCGGCCUUCGCCGCCUUCGUACCCUGCUCCCUGGGUGUCCCGGGGAGCUGGCACCCCAGGCUAGCCCAUCCUCAGACGCAGGGACUCUCGCGACAGGGAUUUAUUGGAAGGGGUGGGCGGAAUUGUGUCCCCCUGAGAGGAGGCUCGGUCACGGGGAGAAGGCGUUCCUGAAAUCCUGAGGCCACCCUACGAUUUCUGCUUUCCCUGCCUGUAGACGGGCCCUAGAGUCCCAGCUUCCCCCAACCUGUGGGCUUUCUGUUU